GCGCUCACUUUGACAGCACAUAGGCUAAAAUUGGAACGAUACAGAGAAGAUUAGCAUGGUCCCUGGGCAAGAAUGACGGGCAAGUUCGUGCAGCGCUCCAUACGGUA